AACUUUAAAAACUGAAUCAGACGACCAUAAGCAACGACUGCAAGGAUUGGAAGAUAUUGUGAAACUUAUGUUGCAACAAACUUCUCCUGGUAUGAAUGUUGAUGAAGCGCUUUCUCUCUUGCGAUCUAAGCAAUCGUCUGCAAAUAGUGCUCAAGAUCCAAAUUUAGUUCCUCGGCAUUCUCCUCCAUCGACUCAUAUACCAAAUCAUGAAUAGCUUUCUUAUUGUUGGAGGAAGUUUUUUGAAGACAUAAAGACAAUUCUUGCCACAAUGGUGAAGCACAAAGUCUUCUUGGUUUUUAGUGGACAACUUAGUUUUUUUUUUGUUUAAGUUCAUUAGCAGAAAAAUAUGUAUUUUGCUUACUUAGGUUUAUUAUUUAUUUGACUUGGUAACUUAUUAGCAAGUAUAUAUGUUAAUUGGUACUUGGAAGACC